GGCCCUAUAGCUCAAUGGAUAGAGCACCGGCCUUCUAAGCCGGCUAUGAUGGUUCGAUUCCGUCUAGGGUCA
rnacentral:tRNA from 2 species